GAGGGGGAUAACACUUGGAAACAGGUGCUAAUACCGCAUAACCAUAGUUACCGCAUGGUAACUAUGUAAAAGGUGGCUAUGCUACCGCUUUUGGAUGGGCCCGCGGCGCAUUAGCUAGUUGGUGGGGUAAAGGCUUACCAAGGCAAUGAUGCGUAGCCGAACUGAGAGGUUGAUCGGCCACAUUGGGACUGAGACACGGCCCAAACUCCUACGGGAGGCAGCAGUAGGGAAUCUUCCACAAUGGGCGAAAGCCUGAUGGAGCAACGCCGCGUGGGUGAAGAAGGUCUUCGGAUCGUAAAACCCUGUUGUUAGAGAAGAAAGUGCGUGAGAGUAACUGUUCACGCUUCGACGGUAUCUAACCAGAAAGCCACGGCUAACUACGUGCCAGCAGCCGCGGUAAUACGUAGGUGGCAAGCGUUAUCCGGAUUUAUUGGGCGUAAAGGGAACGCAGGCGGUCUUUUAAGUCUGAUGUGAAAGCCUUCGGCUUAACCGGAGUAGUGCAUUGGAAACUGGGAGACUUGAGUGCAGAAGAGGAGAGUGGAACUCCAUGUGUAGCGGUGAAAUGCGUAGAUAUAUGGAAGAACACCAGUGGCGAAAGCGGCUCUCUGGUCUGUAACUGACGCUGAGGUUCGAAAGCGUGGGUAGCAAACAGGAUUAGAUACCCUGGUAGUCCACGCCGUAAACGAUGAAUGCUAAGUGUUGGAGGGUUUCCGCCCUUCAGUGCUGCAG
rnacentral:rRNA from 1 species